UACGGAAGGCAGCAGUGGGGAAUAUUGCACAAUGGGCGAAAGCCUGAUGCAGCUAUGCCGCGUGUAUGAAGAAGGCCUUAGGGUUGUAAAGUACUUUCAUCGGGGAGGAAAAACAAAACUAAUAAUUUUAUUUCUUGACGUUACCCGAAAAAGAAGCACCGGCUAACUCCGUGCCAGCAGCCGCGGUAAUACGGAGGGUGCUAGCGUUAAUCAGAAUUACUGGGCGUAAAGAGCACGUAGGUGGUUUUUUUAAGUCAGAUGUGAAAUCCCUGGGCUUAACCUAGGAACUGCAUUUUGAAACUGAAAUACUAGAGUAUCGUAGAGGGAGGUAGAAUUCUAGGUGUAGCGGUGAAAUGCGUAGAUAUCUGGAGGAAUACCUGUGGCGAAAGCGGCCUCCUAAACGAAUACUGACACUGAGGUGCGAAAGCGUGGGGAGCAAAACAGGGAUUAAUACC
rnacentral:rRNA from 1 species